CGGGGCGUGGCGCAGUCCGGCUAGCGCGCUUGCAUGGGGUGUAAGAGGCCCUGGGUUCGAAUCCCAGCGCCCCGACCA
rnacentral:tRNA from 1 species